UCCUCAGUAGCUCAGCGGUAGAGCGAUCGGCUGUUAACCGAUUGGUCGUAGGUUCAAGUCCUACCUGGGGAG
rnacentral:tRNA from 3 species